rnacentral:rRNA from 1 species
AGAGUUUGAUCCUGGCUCACGAUGAACGUUGGCGGUGUGCCUAAUACAUGCAAGUCGAACGGAGUUAAUAGCAAUAUUGGCUCAGUGGCGAACGGGUGAGUAACGCGUUGGUGAUCUGCCUUGAAGUGUGGAAUAACGUUUCGAAAGGAACGCUAAUACCGCAUGUGCUCUCGAUUUUCAGAAAGUUGAGAGUAAAGGAUUUAUUCGCUUCAAGAGGAGCCUGCGUCCCAUCAGCUGGUUGGUAGGGUAACGGCCUACCAAGGCUAUGACGGGUAGGGGACCUGAGAGGGUGGCCCCCCACGAUGGAACUGAAACACGGUCCAUACACCUACGGGUGGUAGCAGUAGGGAAUAUUAGAAAUGGACGAAAGUCUGAUCUAGCAACACCGCGUGUGCGAAGAAGGCCUUCGGGUCGUAAAGCACUUUUUGGAAGGAAUAGGAAGGAAUGUACUUCCAGAAUAAGUCUCGGCUAACUACGUGCCAGCAGCCGCGGUAACACGUAGGAGGCGAACGUUAUCCGGAUUUACUGGGCGUAAAGCGCGUGUAGGUGGUACUGUAAGUAGGGCGUGAAAGCUCCUGGCUCAACUGGGAGAGGCCGUUCUAAACUACAGAACUAGAGGAUGGUAGAGGGAGGUGGAAUUCCAGGUGUAGCGGUGGAAUGCGCAGAUAUCUGGAGGAACACCGGUGGCGAAGGCGGCCUCCUGGACCAUUCCUGACACUCAGACGCGAAAGCUAGGGUAGCAAACGGGAUUAGAGACCCCGGUAGUCCUAGCCCUAAACGAUGUAGACUAGGCGUCGGAAGCUUAAUCGCUUUCGGUGUCCAAGCUAACGCGAUAAGUCUACCGCCUGGGGACUACGGCCGCAAGGUUAAAACUCAAAGGAAUUGACGGGUCCCCGCACAAGCAGCGGAGCGUGUGGUUUAAUUCGUUGCUACACGAGAACCUUACCUGGGUUUGACAUAGCAGUGGUAGGGAAGCGAAAGCGGACCGACCCUUUAUAUCCAGGGCUACACACACGCUACAAUGGUCAGCACAAUAGGUUGCCAAGUCGUGAGACGGAGCCAAUCCUCCAAAGCUGGCCUCAGUUCAGAUUGCAGGCUGCAACUCGCCUGCAUGAAGUUGGAGUUGCUAGUAACCGCAGGUCAGCUAUACUGCGGUGAAUACGUUCCCGGGGAUUGUACACACCGCCCGUCAAGUCAUGGGAGCUGGCAACACCUGAAGCCGGUAUCCUAACCCGCAAGGGAGGGAGCUGUCAAAGGUGGGGUCGGUGACUGGGACUAAGUCGUAACAAGGUAGC